rnacentral:rRNA from 1 species
ACGAAGGGUGCUAGCGUUGUUCGGAAUUACUGGGCGUAAAGGGCGUGUAGGCGGACAUAUCAGUCAGGGGGUGAAAUCCCGGGGGCUCAACCCCCGGAACUGCCUUUGUACUGUAUGUCUAGAAUCUGUGAGGGGAUAGUGGAAUAUCAAGUGUAGAGGUGAAAUUCGUAGAUAUUUGAUGGAACACCAGUGGCGAAGGCGACUAUCUGGCACAGUAUUGACGCUGAGGCGCGAAAGCGUGGGGAGCAAACAGGAUUAGAUACCCCGGGUAGUCC